UGGGGAAUUUUGGACAAUGGGCGCAAGCCUGAUCCAGCCAUGCCGCGUGCGGGAAGAAGGCCUUCGGGUUGUAAACCGCUUUUGUCAGGGAAGAAAUCCUCUGAGUUAAUACCUCGGGAGGAUGACGGUACCUGAAGAAUAAGCACCGGCUAACUACGUGCCAGCAGCCGCGGUAAUACGUGGGUGCAAGCGUUAAUCGGAAUUACUGGGCGUAAAGCGUGCGCAGGCGGUUUUGUAAGACAGAGGUGAAAUCCCCGGGCUCAACCUGGGAACUGCCUUUGUGACUGCAAGGCUUGAGUGCGGCAGAGGGGGGAUGGAAUUCCGCGUGUAGCAGUGNAAUGCGUAGAUAUGCGGAGGAACACCGAUGGCGAAGGCAAUCCCCUGGGCCUGCACUGACGCUCAUGCACGAAAGCGUGGGGAGCAAAACAGGAUUAGAUACCCCUGGUAGUCCACGCCCUAAACGAUGUCAACUGGUUGUUGGGAAGGUUCCUUCUCAGUAACGUAGCUAACGCGUGAAGUUGACCGCCUGGGGAGUACGGCCGCAAGGUUGAAACUCAAAUGAAUUGACGGGGGUCAUAGCUG
rnacentral:rRNA from 1 species